rnacentral:rRNA from 1 species
GCGUCGGAUUAGCUAGUUGGUGAGGUAACGGCUCACCAAGGCGACGAUCCGUAGCUGGUUUGAGAGAACGACCAGCCACACCGGAACUGAGACACGGUCCGGACUCCUACGGGAGGCAGCAGUGGGGAAUAUUGGACAAUGGGGGCAACCCUGAUCCAGCAAUGCCGCGUGUGUGAAGAAGGCCUUCGGGUUGUAAAGCACUUUCGGUGGGGACAAACAAGGCGGAGCUAACAUCUCCGUCCCUGAUGGUACCCAAAGAAGAAGCACCGGCUAACUCUGUGCCAGCAGCCGCGGUAAUACAGAGGGUGCAAGCGUUAAUCGGAAUUACUGGGCGUAAAGCGUGCGUAGGUGGUUUGUUAAGUCAGGUGUGAAAUCCUCGGGCUCAACCCAGGAACUGCGCUUGAUACUGGCAGACUCGAGUGUGGUAGAGGAUAGUGGAAUUCCCGGUGUAGCGGUGAAAUGCGUAGAUAUCGGGAGGAACAUCAGUGGCGAAGGCGGCUAUCUGGACCAACACUGACACUGAGGUACGAAAGCGUGGGUAGCAAACAGGAUUAGAUACCCUGGUAGUCCACGCCCUAAACGAUGGGUACUAGACGUCGGGAAGCUUGUCUUCUUGGUGUCGCAGCUAACGCAAUAAGUACCCCGCCUGGGGAGUACGGUCGCAAGAUUA